GAUAACCAUGGUUGAUAAAUGGUCAGUAGAUGACAUGUGCCACUGGCUUCAAACUAUAAACCUCAUUGAUGCAAAAGAAAGUUUCAGAGAUCCUGCAUGAAAUGACAAUGAGGUUUGGAACAGACUUGGCGAAGAACAUGGAAACAUCUCUGAAUGAAAUGGCCCCAGACAUCAUCAGGAGUGCAAAAGAAGGAAGUCAAAAAAAACC